rnacentral:rRNA from 1 species
CCUACGGGCUGCAGCAGUGGGGAAUAUUGGACAAUGGGCGAAAGCCUGAUCCAGCCAUGCCGCGUGUGUGAAGAAGGCCUUCGGGUUGUAAAGCACUUUCAGUGGGGAAGAAAGCCUUGGGGCUAAUACCCUCGAGGAAGGACAUCACCCACAGAAGAAGCACCGGCUAACUCCGUGCCAGCAGCCGCGGUAAUACGGAGGGUGCGAGCGUUAAUCGGAAUUACUGGGCGUAAAGCGCGCGUAGGCGGUCUGAUAAGCCGGUUGUGAAAGCCCCGGGCUCAACCUGGGAACGGCAUCCGGAACUGUCAGGCUAGAGUGCAGGAGAGGAAGGUAGAAUUCCCGGUGUAGCGGUGAAAUGCGUAGAGAUCAGGAGGAAUACCAGUGGCGAAGGCGGCCUUCUGGACUGACACUGACGCUGAGGUGCGAAAGCGUGGGUAGCAAACAGGAUUAGAUACCCCGGUAGUC